GGAAGGAUCAUUACCGAGUGCGGGCCCUCGCGGCCCAACCUCCCACCCUUGUCUCUAUACACCUGUUGCUUUGGCGGGCCCACCGGGGCCACCUGGUCGCCGGGGGACGCACGUCCCCGGGCCCGCGCCCGCCGAAGCGCUCUGUGAACCCUGAUGAAGAUGGGCUGUCUGAGUAUUAUGAAAAUUGUCAAAACUUUCAACAAUGGAUCUCUUGGUUCCGGCAUCGAUGAAGAACGCAGCGAAAUGCGAUAAGUAAUGUGAAUUGCAGAAUUCCGUGAAUCAUCGAAUCUUUGAACGCACAUUGCGCCCCCUGGCAUUCCGGGGGGCAUGCCUGUCCGAGCGUCAUUUCUGCCCUCAAGCACGGCUUGUGUGUUGGGUGUGGUCCCCCCGGGGACCUGCCCGAAAGGCAGCGGCGACGUCCGUCUGGUCCUCGAGCGUAUGGGGCUUUGUCACUCGCUCGGGAAGGACCUGCGGGGGUUGGUCACCACCAUAUUUUACCACGGUUGACCUCGGAUCAGGUAGGAGUUACCCGCUGAACUUAAGCAUAUCAAUAAGCGGAGGAAAAGAAACCAACCGGGAUUGCCUCAGUAACGGCGAGUGAAGCGGCAAGAGCUCAAAUUUGAAAUCUGGCCCCUUUGGGGUCCGAGUUGUAAUUUGCAGAGGAUGCUUCGGGUGCGGUCCCCGUCUAAGUGCCCUGGAACGGGCCGUCAUAGAGGGUGAGAAUCCCGUCUGGGAUGGGCGGCCGCGCCCGUGUGAAGCUCCUUCGACGAGUCGAGUUGUUUGGGAAUGCAGCUCUAAGCGGGUGGUAAAUUUCAUCUAAAGCUAAAUACUGGCCGGAGACCGAUAGCGCACAAGUAGAGUGAUCGAAAGAUGAAAAGCACUUUGAAAAGAGAGUUAAACAGCACGUGAAAUUGUUGAAAGGGAAGCGUUGUCCACCAGACUCGCCCGGGGGGGUUCAGCCGGCACGUGUGCCGGUGUACUCCUCUCCGGGCGGGCCAGCAUCGGUUUGGGCGGCUGGUGAAAGGCCCCGGGAAUGUAACACCCUCCGGGGUGCCUUAUAGCCCGGGGUGCCAUACAGCCAGCCUGGACCGAGGCCCGCGCUUCGGCGAGGAUGCUGGCGUAAUGGUGGUCAACGGCCCGUCUUGAAACACGGACCAAGGAGUCUAACAUCUAUGCGAGUGUUCGGGUGUCAAACCCGUCCGCGCAGUGAAAGCGAACGGAGGUGGGAGCCUUUCGGGGCGCACCAUCGACCGAUCCUGAUGUCUUCGGAUGGAUUUGAGUAAGAGCAUAGCUGUUGGGACCCGAAAGAUGGUGAACUAUGCCUGAAUAGGGCGAAGCCAGAGGAAACUCUGGUGGAGGCUCGCAGCGGUUCUGACGUGCAAAUCGAUCGUCAAAUUUGGGUAUAGGGGCGAAAGACUAAUCGAACCAUCUGGUAGCUGGUUCCUGC
rnacentral:misc_RNA from 1 species